UCGGGUGACAGGGAGACAGGUGGUGCAUGGUUGUCGUCAGCUCGUGUCGUGAGAUGUUGGGUUAAGUCCCGCAACGAGCGCAACCCCUAUUGUUAGUUGCCAUCAUUCAGUUGGGCACUCUAGCGAGACUGCCGGUAAUAAACCGGAGGAAGGUGGGGACGACGUCAAAUCAUCAUGCCCCUUAUGACCUGGGCUACACACGUGCUACAAUGGUUGGUACAACGAGUUGCGAGUCGGUGACGGCGAGCUAAUCUCUUAAAGCCAAUCUCAGUUCGGAUUGUAGGCUGCAACUCGCCUACAUGAAGUCGGAAUCGCUAGUAAUCGCGGAUCAGCACGCCGCGGUGAAUACGUUCCCGGGCCUU
rnacentral:rRNA from 1 species